GUGCGUCCGAAGCAGCCCCUUGUUCUGCGUCAGUGUCAGUGUUUGUGAUUGUUUGACUGGUGCCCGUGCUGUCGCUUAGAAUUGAAUAAAAAAGAUCAAAACAAAUUGAGUAAGCGGGAGCACGGGCGCAGCUGGAGAAUUCAGCUGCGAAAAAACACCAAAGAUUUUUGUAGCGAGUGGAAAAGAAUGGUGUUUUCUCUUAUUCACUCCGCUCACAGAACCGGUGCCCGGUUCACGACAUCCCCCGCGACUCAACAAUA